GGCUCAGGAUGAACGCUAGCGGCAGGCUUAACACAUGCAAGUCGAGGGGCAGCAUGACACGGAGAUUCGUCGAAGUGUUGAUGGCGACCGGCGCAAGGGUGCGUAACGCGUGAGCAACUUGCCCGUUUCUGGGGAAUAACCGGUGGAAACGCCGACUAAUACCCCAUAGUAUAACUAAGAGGCAUCUUUUUGUUAUUAAAGAAUUUCGGAAACGGAUAGGCUCGCGUGACAUUAGCUAGAUGGCGGGGUAACGGCCCACCAUGGCUACGAUGUCUAGGGGUUCUGAGAGGAAGGUCCCCCACACUGGAACUGAGACACGGUCCAGACUCCUACGGGAGGCAGCAGUGAGGAAUAUUGGUCAAUGGUCUGACGACUGAACCAGCCAUGCCGCGUGAAGGUCACGGCCCUAUGGGUCUUAAACUUCUUUUGUAAGGGAGCAAUAAGUCUCACGUGUGGGAUGAUGAGAGUACCUUACGAAUAAGCAUCGGCUAACUCCGUG
rnacentral:rRNA from 1 species